CUUUAAGAAACAGCUCAAAUGCUAUUUUCCUCUGAAGCUGUUUUAUUCUUCUAUCUCCUGAGCAAUGUGAGAGAUUGGGAGCUUAAAAGGAAGAAUAAACAGUGUUCAUACUUCUCAUAAUUUGUUCACAUCACCAAGUGAAACUCUCUCUCUCUCAUUCAAAACUAAUUCCAUAUGGCAGGUAUGGCCACGCUUCAUCCUUUUUGUAGCUCCUUUUCUAGUUCAUUGCCUAAUAUACAGAGAUGGUGUGUAAUGAAAGUUUACCAAAAUAUUUGCUAACUAUGCCACUGAUAAAAGACAGAAUGGCAUGAGUCACACAUACACACAUGUGUACACAUGCACACAGAAAAACUGUCUCCAAGUGAUUGUAGUUAAUAACUUUUAUCUUUGGGAAAGCAAGCAUUUACUCUGAUCCAUGAAUCUUCAGAAAUUCUGAUUUCC
rnacentral:lncRNA from 1 species